rnacentral:lncRNA from 1 species
CAAAACUCAAAGUGGAUCAUGGACCUAAGCACCAGACCAGAGACCCUGCGCCUACUAGAAGUAAGCCCAACUCCCCAUCAUGUUGGCUUAGGAACCUAAUUCCUCAACAAGACUCUUAAAGUACAAGAAAUAAAGUUUAAAAAAUCAAUAAGUAGGAUGGUAUCAAACUAAAAAACUUCUUCACAGCAAAGGAAACUAUCAAGAAUAUGAACAGAGAGCCUACAGAAUGUAAGAAAAUCUUUGCCACCUGCACCUCAAAUAGAGAGCACUAAUCUCCAGCAUAUAUGAAGAACUCAAAAACGUAACACCAAAAAAAUCCAAAUAACCUAAUUAAUAAAUGGGCAAAGGAACUGAACAGACACGUCAGAAGAAAUACAAAUGGUCAACAAAUAUAUAAAAAAUGUUCAACAUCAAUAGCAAUUAAAGAAAUGCAAACUAAAACUACACUGAGAUUUCAUCUCACUCCAAUCAGAAUGGCAAUUAUCAAGAAUACAAGUAAUAAUAAAUGUUGGCAAGGAUGUGGGCAAAAAGAUACACUCAUACAUUACUGGUGGGACUGCAAAUUGGUGCAAACACUCUGGAAAGCAGUGUGGAGAUUCCUCAGAAAACUUGGAAUGGACCACCAUUUAUUUGACCCAGUUAUCCCACUCCUGGGCAUGUACCCAAAGGACUUAAAAUUAGCAUAUUAUAUUGAUGUGGCCACAUCAAUGUUUAUAGCAGCUCAGUUCACAAUAGCUAAGCUAUGGAACCAACCUAUG